rnacentral:lncRNA from 1 species
CAGCAGGGAAAGCAUGAGACUCAAUCCAGAAUGGGCAUUGUAUAGCUUGGAUUACAUCUGUUAAUGGAUGGGUGGGAGAUGAGAACAGGAGGGGAAGUCAGCUGUUGAAUUUUACACACUGCAUGGAAAGUAGGAAAAAAAAAUCAAAUAGCCAUUACCCCUAAUUUAAUUUAAGCCAACAUCAAUCACUUCAUGAGGACUGAAGAGAGAGAGCCCAUCACUGUAUCAGAAAAUCAUGUUAUUAUCAGUUUGCUGUCAUAUCCUAACUUAACAGAAAAAUCAACACGGGGCUUUUAAAGUUGAUAGUUUUUAUUUACAUUUUUGUUGGCAAAGGGCAGUGGGAACGUUUGAAACAUUUUAAACAGAGGGCACCAUAUUGUACUGCGUGAUGUAUCAGUUCACUGUCUGUAUCCUCAGUAUCCAGCUGAUCAAAUAAAGCUAAUCAACAUGUAAAGAAAAGUGAUCUGCAUCAGCUCCUCUAGAGCGUGCUGCCUAAAAGCAAGGCAGGCAGUUUCUAAAUCAACACAAUCACUAUUAAAAAUGCAGUUCUGGUCAAGAACAUUUACUUUUAUUUCAUACUGUACCUGGUAUCAACUUCCCACUUACAUCUGCAUACGGGCAAAGCAGUUACACUCCCUACUUUUAGGGUGAAAUUUAUUAUCUCAUUCUCUGCAAAUUCAGCUGUCAGGUAAUUAUGAACUAUUCUGAGUAUUUUACUGUGAUCAUAGCAAGACUGGAGAUGAGACUGAAGUAAAACAUUCCUGGUAUAUGACGUGCCCAUCAGAAUCAGCCGGGUAACCAUAAACAUCCUGUUUAAGAAAUCUAUUCAAAAAGGAGAAAAAGUGUAGUCAGUUUGCACUUUAUCACAUGGAUUUUAAUUCCCAUUUGAGCUUUUUAAUUCAUUCUUCUAAAUCAAGAGUGUUUAGUUCUUCUUCUAGUUCAUCCAAGUCCUCGCCAGUAAAAAGGUUUUCAUCAACCGGAACUGCAUCCAUUACUCCAUUUUCCAACUCUUCAUCGCCAUCGCGAUCUUCUAAAUCAUUUUGUUCACUGCUGUUUAUCUCACCACCAGAAGCUUCACUGAGUUUGUUAUCAUCUUUUUCUAUUGAAGCAUAUGUGCUGAACCGCUCAGGACUAGCCACAGUAAUGCCAGUUUCAUCUACAGCCUUUGGGACAUACAGACUCAGGUCUACAUCAUUUACGCACACAGGGUCUUCCACCUCAUCAUCUUCUCCCGUUCCUUGGGUGUAGCGAGUGUCGUCUGCUUCUUCAUCAUCGGCAUCAACCAGCUCUGGUCGGAACUCAAAUACUUCACGUCCACUAAUCACCAAUGCCUUGCCAGCUUUAAAAUCUGCUUUCCUCCUUUCCAUAUCUUGCUCUGCCUUAUCAAUUUUUUCUUGUCUUUUUCUUCUCUUCCAUGCAAUAAAACACUCUAAAGUGAUUUUGGUAACAUUUGGUCCUAAGGCAGCACGCUCUUUUUCUAUUAGAUCUUCUAAGGAAAUUUCAUCUUGCUUUUCUUCCUUCUUUUUGUCUUUUUUUAGUACAAAACCUGGAGGAAGAGCAUGGCGAUACAUGCAAUUGUCUCCACCACCUGGACAGACCCAAAACCAUCCGUAUUUGUUGUUUUCAAUAGCAUCAAGAAAAUACUUGCAGACUAUUUGAGUUUUGGGUUUUUUCUUUUCCGCCUCACCGUGCUUCUUGUUCACCACCUCUUCUAGCUUCUUCUCAUCCCAGUUAUCCAUUGUGUCUUUUUCAAGGUCUUCAUCUCUUGCAUCAAUGUACACACUUCGUUUUUCACACUUCCUUUCCAAAGACAAGUCAUGAGAAAACUUGCACUUGUCUCCUUUAGUGCACUGUCCUUGCUUGAAGAAAGCACAAACUACAGAUUUGGGAUCAGCACCUUUGCUAAUCUUCUGUGCAGCAACCACAGGCUUGAAGAGUUCAUUUAAUUCUUGUAGUUCUUUUUUCUUAUCUUCUUUUUUUAAUUUCUUUUCACUUUCUGUUUGAGCGGCCUGACGUGGAUUUUGCUGACCAAAUUUAACCUGGUGAGUCACAGCCUUGAUAAAUUUCUGUUGUUUUGCACCUUUCUUGUUCUUUAGGCCAAAUGUUUUGUCCUCGAUGAUCUUCUCCUUCUUCUUCUGGUCCGCCUUCUUGCUGCUCCCCGCCGGCUGCUGCUGCUUCUUGGGGGGCAUCGCGGGGAGGCGGGGCGGCCGCGGCUCCCGCUCGGAGCCUGGCGGGGACGGACAGACUGCCGGGCCGGCUCCGCGCCGCCGCCGGGAGGCGCAACGCAGCUGGCUCGCGGGGCACGCCGGGACUGCGGAGCGGGGCGCGCGGGGCCGCUCAGCUCCCGGCAGGGCGCGCGGCGCGCGUCACGCGGGCCGUGCUGCGUCAACGGUCCCGCCCUGAGGGAGGGCGUUGGCGGCAAUCCGCGGGCGCCGCCAUGUUGGGGCGUGGCUCGUGUGAGGGGGCGGGACGCGCGCCUUCCCUCCGCCUCUCCCCCGUUCUACGAGAUUCGAUUAGGCAUGGCUGCACGCAGGUGUUGCAAAGCUAGAGGAGAGAAAGGAGUACGUUGAAGAAGGGCGUUCCCGCUCAGCUGUGAGCAGAGAGGUGGGACGGAGCUAAAAUCUGGUGUUGAUCGUCGUGUGAGAGCACCUGAGUGAACCUCCAGCAACGAUAACACUGCGUGGAGGGAGCAGAGACAAAGCACAUAAUGGCGCUUGUGCACGUUUGCAGCUGUAACUUUUGCUGCUGUAUAUAUCUUUUACUUUCUGUCAGGAAAGGAAAGUAACCGAGAGAGAACUGAAAGGAAAAAGACACUUUACCUCAUAUUUCCAUCUUCCCAGUUAAAAAAGUGCAUGCAAGAGAACCUGCAAGCUAAGCAAUCAAGUCAGGGAGAGAAACGCCCCCAGCCGACAGCCAGGUAACAAAGGCACCACCUGCGUGUCCCUGUAUUCCUUCUCCUCAGUUCCACCUGAGAAACUCAUCAUUCCCUGAAGACCGCCCCCCCCCCCAAAAAAAAAACAACUAAGGUACUGCAUUUCACACUGAGACUGGGUAAAGGAAUCUGCUACUGUAUAGAGCUUUCUGAGACACAUGAACCCUAGUUACCAGGGAAGUUGUGCUAAAUACACCAUCCCUUCAAAAUAAGGAGUCUUUUCUGCAAACAGAAAGCACAUCAUACUUCAUGCAUUAGACUGGGGUCAGGUUUAGCACACAAACAGCUACAGCCUGCCCAAGAGCAGACAAGUACUACAAUCAAGCCCACCUUUGAGGCUUACAUUCCCAGGGAGCACCUCUCUGUUGGUGAGCACAGAGUCCUGCAGAGCACCUCUCUUCAUCCACUUGGACAAGUUCUCAUCAAUGCACUCCUGCAAUAUACAUUGCUCCUCCAUCAGAUAUUGGCAUAGGCACAGUUCCUCUUCUUUAAAACAAGAGCAAAGAAACUUUGGAGGUGUGGGGAACUCAUCACCUGCAAUUAUCACAAUCAUCUCUGCUUGUAACCCUUCCUUCUCAAAGAGCUGGAAACAGAAACAUGAAGAAAGCAUUCUGAAGCAUUGGUGGAGUAGCCUGGCUUGUUGAAUGAAGUACAUAAAAUCCAUGCUUCUAUCUCGAUACUGAAAGGUGUCCCUCACUUCAGUUCUCAUUCUGUAACACUGAAGGACAGUGGGAGGCAACCUGUUACAUCUUUUUCAGACCAUCCAUGCAGCAUUGUCUUGAGAACAACUUGAACAUUUCGUUCCUGUUAUCUGUGUCGAAAUCUCCAGAUCACCCCAAACCUCAUAUACUUGCAUAAAAUAAGUGGUGACAGAAGGAAGAGACUGAGAAUUCAGGUGGAGAGAAGAGAGGCAGUUCUUUAGAGUGAGAGAUACGGUUCUAUGGCCAGUGUGAAAAAAAAAAAAAAAACAAAACAAAAAACAGAGAGAAAAUAAAAUUUUCCUCCUAUCUCUGUUCCACUCUCAUUUUAAUACAUCUUCAGACUAAAGCAGUGACAUCUCAUUUUCGACUGAAGACGUUUGGAAAUGGAUCUCCUAAAAAGAUGUCAGCAAACAGGCAAAUAAACACAGAAUGCAUAUCUAAGCUACUGGAUGUUUACAAAAGGUACUGCAGAAGGGAAAAUGUACCAGAUGAAAUGGAAAUUAUUUCAUGAAUCACCUCACGAUUUCACAGAAAUAAGGGAAGUAUUAUUACUGAUUAUUCUCCAUAAAACAAGUUUAAAAACAUACCAUCGUCUAAAAAGGAAAAGUGAAAGGUUUCUAAAUUGGAUAUUUCAAUAUUGCUAAUGAGAACGAAGUGAGCUGAUGAAUGUUGAAUCAUUCCUUGACAGUUUUUAAACAAAUAUUAUCAUUCAUUCUCUUUCCUGCAUCGACAGAUGAUGUUUCUUGUUCAAAUGAGGCUUCCUGACUUUUGAUAAAGGCUGCUGAAAAUAGCACUCCCCUUCCCAAGCUGUAUAUUCACCUCUAGCAUAUACUGACAUACUGACAGGGAAUGAAAAUUUGGGAUGCUCUGCAGUGUUCUGCCCUUUCAUGAAGGGUUUGUCUUGUGUGUGAAGUAUGAUGUACACCAUGGUAUCACUAUAUCACAUUACCCGGUGAUGAAUUUAGAAGCUGCCACUGCUGUCUAAUUCAGCAAUCCAUUUUGAAAUUGAGUAGCCUCUUCUCUCCCUUAAAAGUAGGGCAUCAUUAAAUUAAAGUAACCUAUUGUGUGCAGCAGACUAGGCAAGAAGUGGGUGAUGUUCUCCUGCCUUCAGCUGUCUGUCCCUGCCUGCUGGCUGCUUUCAAAUGGAGGAGACAAGUCUGAUGGGCUGCUUAAACUCGUUCCUUCACUUCCCUCCAUUCUUAGCCUCCACAGAGGGCAGACUUGGGACUGUAAAGAACAGCUGCUUACCUCACUGAUGCUUUAUAUACUGAUUUAAGUGUGUAUAUGCUCACUUUUAUAUCUUGUUUAUUCAUUACUGUGGAAGGCUAUAGGAAGUUGGAGGUGAGGAGAUGCUUUCCUGCAGGGGGAAAGUUGCAAGGUACAAGACUGAAAAUGGAUUUUGGAUUUGUGGAGCAGGCUGUGUGUAAGCAAAUGCACUUGGAUUCCGUGCUGGCUUUCUCCCGUUACACAGUUUUUGCAUUGUUCUUGAUCAAAAUGGAUGGAAAAUACUGAGGGUGUUCACUUGGUUUUGCUAUAAUUGCUAUAAACAUUCUAAAUAGUGCUUUGGUUAAUAGUCAGAAGGACAAAUGGGAAGGAAGCCAUCAGGUGGGUAGUCAGGUAGAGACACUUUGUUUGCGUUUACUGUAAGAGCACAUUGGAAAUAUUGUUAAUUUAACAUCAACCAUCUAAAGAUAGCACCAAUUCUAAUUUCAUCAGCAGGUGAGUGUGAAAAAUCGGCCAAUGUUUUCAAUGUAGAAGUGGAAAAAUAAAAAAAUAGAAAGCCAGUUAUGUAUUAAUUGUGAUAGAGCACUAUCUGAAUUUGAAGAGCUAGAAAUUCUGCCCAUUUCAUCGAGACUUGACCUAACAUUUCCCACUGCGAGUAGAAAAUAUUGAUAUAAUGCAUAGGAAUCAUUCUGUUUGUGGUGGGUUUUUGUGGUUGUUUGUCCUUUUCUUUCUUUCUUUUUUUUUACUAGCCGUUGCCCAUAUGGCCAGUUAAUUAUCCUUCUGCAGGCAGAAUUAUUUUAUUUAAUGAAUUUUUAAAUGUCAGUGACGUGAAAAACCAUUACUGUGGUUGUAAGUCCAUUACUCACCUUCAGCUUCUAUUUCCCAUCACCCCCCACUUUAGCUUUAAGGAGCAUCUGAAGUGACAGAGCUUUGAUUUCAGUUGAGAGUGCUGAGCACAGAAGUCUUACAAGUAAUACAUUAUUAAAAAAUCGUAGCAAGAAAAUUAAUUUCUACUAUCGUAUGCCAUGCUGGGUAUAUCACUUCUAACAAAUGACCUUUUUUUUUCAUAUAUUCAUUGGUAGAUUUACCAGGACAAAAUAAUUACUUUGUUUUCCACCUCUAAGAAAAAAAAAAAAGUCUUUUUCUUGUGCGUGUGUGGUUUUCUUGUUUUGUUUUUAAUUGAAAUAAGUACACAAAAUGGGUUCUAUAAGAUAAAAAGAAAAAGGAAAGAAAAAAGAAGGAACUGGAAAACCACACAGAAAUGAGGCACUGGCUCCCUGUCAUGUUGUCUGGUCAGUAAUAUUUCUUACUGUGAAAUUCCUGCAUGUUCGCAUGUUCAUGUUUAAAUCCUCCCAGAGAGAUUUUGCAUUGGAUCCUAGUUGAACUCAAGAAGGUAGAUGGUUAUGCGGUUUCUCAUAUUUCUUGCUUUUGAGAGGAACGUCUGUUUAUCCAGAGAGCCUUAUCUGGGCUUGGCGACGAGCACAUUCCGCAGCCAGAAGAAGGACCAGACAGGAAAUUGACCCAAAAAAAGGAAUUAAUAAAGCAACAAGUCACUAUACUCUGGACCACCUCAUUUCAGAAUUCUGCUUGAAGCACACUAAAGACUUCAGUGAGACUUUCUGACAGCGUGUGGUAAUGAAACUACCCCAUAAGGAGAUGAAAAACAAGAUAUACUCAAUGGGAGGAGCACAUGCUUGUACUUAAAUUCUUCUGUUUCUCCUUCAGUCAGAUGGGCAAAGGAAAAUGCUGUCCUAUCCCAAGAAAUGCAAAGGCAUAAUCAAGUAUGUCUGUGCCUCUCUUGCCAUUUUGAUAUUGGGAACUCAUCCAGCUGUGAACCAAUAGUCUUAUAUGGAAGAUCAGAACUGCUGCUCCUUCGCUUCUUGAUGUAGGAUCUCUCUAUACACAAGCACUGUGCGCGAGUCUUCCCCUUAAAACUUUGAGCACUGCAUAAAUUCUGCUGGUCAAGAGGCUCAGACUGUGAUUUCAAAAGGAACUCCCGUAUUUGUCAACACGUAGCUGAUGAAUGCUCACAGCUAAGAAGUGGUAUUGUGGAUCCCUUUCAUGACUUAUACCUAUAUUUACUGUGAUAACUGCAGAAUAAUCACACCAAUCACCAAGUUACUUGAAAAUAAAACUUCCUUUACUGACUAAUAUAUUCUGGAGAGGUACCUGUGGGAGGAUUGGAGUGAGCCACUGCCUGCAGAGCUAAAUAACAAGCAUGAACACAAGGUACUCACCUAAACAUCCUCCAUGAAAAUGCAGCUGACACACUUGAGGGACGGGAUGCCAUUCGAAAGAAGCAUGGUGAGCAGGGCCAGGGAGAUGGUCCUGUCCUCUACUCUGCGCUGGCAAGGCCUCACCUGGAGUACUGGGUCCAGAUGUGGCGUCCUUUGUACAGGAGAGGCACUGACCUGUUGGAGUGCAUCCAGAGGAGGGUCACAAAAAUGAUCCAAGGGAUGGAACACGUCUCCUAAGAGGACAUGCUGAAAGAGCAGGGGCUGUUCAGCCUGGAGAAGAGAAGGCUCCAGGGAGACCUGAGAGCAGCCAUUCAUAUCUAAAGGGGAGCUACAGGAAAGAAGGGGACAGACUCUUUAGAAGGGUUUAUUGUGAUGGGACAAGAGGAAGUGGUUUCAAGCUAUAAGGGGAAGAUUUAUACUGGAUAUAAGGAAGAAGUUCUUUGCAAUAAGGGUGGUGAGGCACUGGAACAGGUUGCCCAGAGAGGUGGUGGGAGCCCCAUUCUUGGAGACAGUCAAGGUCAGGCUGGAUGGGGCUUUGAGUACCCUGAUCUAGCUGUAGCUGUCUCCGUUCAUUGCAGGGGUGUUGGACUAGAUGGCCUUUAACGGUCUCUUCCAGCUCAAAAAAAUCCAUUAUUCUGUGAUUUUCACCCAGCCUAGUAUCUUUCCUGACAGGCUGUGUAGCCCGGCAGAUAAAGGAAGCAAAAUUAUCCUUCUUGAAUGUUAGCUCUUGCUUAGCAUCUUGGCAAAACCAGUUGGCAAAUAAACCUUUGUUUGACCUUGGUAUGUUUCUCUGGAAGCUCUGUUUUUCUCCUCUGCACUCCCUUCUUUAAAUAGAAAGAGAGGUCUCGGACCAACAGAGCGCAAAGGAGUCACAGCAGGCACAUGGGGAGGGAGUCUCUGCUUCCUCAGCUCUGGAUACAUCCCAGCCUGACAUGAUUUGUCACCUUGUGUAAUAUAAUUCAGCUUAAGAUAUAAAUUCCUGUAAGCCUUAAGCUGUGCAGCCAGAACGGUGAUAAAGUAACAGAGAAAUGAAGAUUUACAAGACACAUCUAAGGUGUAAACAUGAAUAAAAUAAUCCACACGCGUACAUAGUAAAAUGCUGUAUUCCUAUGCUUGCUUUAUAUUCCCCACACAGUUCGAAGUCUGAUUUACUGCUCCUUACUGAAAACACACUCUUGCUUGAAUAGAAACUUGCUGAAAUUUCACAAUUCUUAUCACUACUCAGGAUUGCUACAAAUUUGAUUCAGUUUGGGUUGGUUUGCCUUAGAAAUUUCUUCUGUGGGAACAGAACAUUUGCACAAGUCGUAUACCCC